rnacentral:rRNA from 1 species
GUCUCAGUUCGGAUUGUAGUCUGCAACUCGACUACAUGAAGCUGGAAUCGCUAGUAAUCGCGGAUCAGAAUGCCGCGGUGAAUACGUUCCCGGGUCUUGUACACACCGCCCGUCACACCAUGGGAGUCGGAAAUGCCCGAAGUCUGUGAACCUUAACCGUAAGGAAGGAGCAGCCGAAGGCAGGUCGGAUGACUGGGGUGAAGUCGUAACAAGGUAGC